rnacentral:rRNA from 1 species
AACGAACGCUGGCGGCGUGGAUAAGACAUGCAAGUCGAACGGGACAGACCGAGUAGCAAUAUUUGGAAUGUUCAGUGGCGAACGGGUGCGUAACACGUGGAUAACAUUCCGGAAAGCGGGGAAUAGCCCAGGGAAACUUGGAUUAAUACCGCAUGUGGCCGCAAGGCUAAAGACAGGGACCGCAAGGCCUGUCACUUUCCGAUUGGUCCGCGGCCUAUCAGCUAGUUGGCGGGGUAAUGGCCCACCAAGGCUACGACGGGUAGCUGUGCUUAGAGGACGACCAGCCACACUGGAGCUGAGAAACGGUCCAGACACCUACGGGUGGCAGCAGUCGAGAAUCUUUCACAAUGGGGGCAACCCUGAUGGAGCGACGCCGCGUGGAGGAUAAGGUCUUCGGAUUGUAAACUCCUGUCAUGCGAGAACAAGGUACUCAGGCUAAUAACCUGAUUGUUUGAUGGUACCGCAAGAGGAAGAGACGGCUAACUCUGUGCCAGCCGCCGCGGUAAUAC